rnacentral:rRNA from 1 species
UAGGGAAUCUUCCGCAAUGGGCGAAAGCUUGACGGAGCAACGCCGCGUGAGUGAUGAAGGUCUUCGGAUCGUAAAACUCUGUUAUUAGGGAAGAACAAAUGUGUAAGUAACUAUGCACGCCUUGACGGUACCUAAUCAGAAAGCCACGGCUAACUACGUGCCAGCAGCCGCGGUAAUACGUAGGUGGCAAGCGUUAUCCGGAAUUAUUGGGCGUAAAGCGCGCGUGGGCGGUUUUUUAAGUCUGAUGUGAAAGCCCACGGCUCAACCGUGGAGGGUCAUUGGAAACUGGAAAACUUGAGUGCAAAAGAGGAAAGUGGAAUUCCAUGUGUAGCGGUGAAAUGCGCAGAGAUAUGGCGGAACACCAGUGGCAAAGGCGACUUUCUGGUCUGUAACUGACGCUGAUGUGCGAAAGCGUGGGGAUCAAACAGG